UGCAAUGCCCGCUCACAGCGCCGAUGAAGAAGUUCAACAGACUGAGCCCUCAUGUUUCAAUCCAGCCGAUCGACAACACAAGCCUUCUAGGUGCUCGCCCCGGACAGCCAGAAAAAUGAAGAACCUGGAGAAGAUAAAUUCAAGGCUUUGGAAGGCACUGUCAAGAAUUGGCAAGAGAAAGGUUAAAAAGCUUUCCCAGUCCGAGGCGUUGAAUGCUAUCAGGCCCUAUGUCCGCAAGACAUUCUUUAGAUUGCUUGAGACUCAAGUUAAAAUUAAUGGCGUGAAACGUAGAGGACGGAGGUGGUCGCCUGAGCACCGCCAGUUCGCUUUAAACUUAUACUUUCAUGGUCCGAAAGCGUACAGACAUCUGUCAAGACUGCUUGACAUGCCAACUGUGAGGUCGCUAAAGCAGUGGUUAUGAAAUAUUCCGAUGACUCCCGGAGUUAUUCCAACCGCUAUUGAAGCCCUCGAAGAAGCUACCCGAAAUUGGCAUUUAACAGAUCGUGCGUGCACAUUAAUAUUUUAAUAAAUGUCCUAGAAGGAACAUCUGCAGUAUGAUGCAAAGCAUGACAUUGUGAUGGGAUUCUCCGAUGACGGUAGGCAAAGAACACCAGCCGUGGCAAAUUCAGCGCUCCUGAUACUUGUGGCAGGCAUUUCGAAAACGUGGAUUCAGCCUGUUGCUUACACAGUAUCAAGGACCAAAACACACGCAGAUACUCUUCAUCAUCUGAUCAUAACAAUAAUCAAGCAGCUGCAGGGAGCCCGGUUGUUUGUGAAGGCGCUCAUCUGCGACCAGGGGGGAAGCAACAUCACUUUGGCAAGUAAGCUAGGUGUGACGCCUGAAGAGCCGUUUUUUGUGCUUGAAGGCCGCAAGAUUUAUUUCCUAUAUGACACACCACACUUACUUAAAUGCACAAGGAAUAAUCUCCGCGCACCUCACAAGC